CAAAGGUAGCAUAAUUAUUAGUUUUUUAAUUGAAAGCUUGUAUGAAGGGUUGGACGAGAUAAAAUCUGUCUUUAUUUAAAUUACAAUAAAAUUUAACUUUUAAGUCAAAAGGCUUAAAUGUGUGUAAAAGACGAGAAGACCCUAUAGAUCUUUAUUUAGUUAAUAUUUUGAUAAUUUAGGAUUAUUUUAAUUUAAAGUUUUAAUUAAAUUUUAUUGGGGUAAUAUAAAGAUUAAAUAAAUUCUUUUUGUUUAUUACAUUAAUUUAUGAAUUUAUGAUCCAAUAUUAUUGAUUAUAAGAUUAAGUUACCUUAGGGAUAACAGCGUAAUUUUUUUGGAGAGCUCAUAUCGAUAAAAAAGUUUGCGACCUCGAUGUUGGAUUAAAAAUUAGCUUGGGUGCAGAAGCUCAAGAUUUUGGUCUGUUCGACCAUUAAAUUUUUACAUGAUCUGAGUUCAGACCGGCGUAAGCCAGGUCGGUUUCUAUCUUUAUUUAAUUAAAAUAUUUUAGUACGAAAGGACCAAAUAUU
rnacentral:rRNA from 1 species